rnacentral:snRNA from 1 species
GUGCUCACUUCAGCAGUACAUAUAUAAAAUUGGAACGAUACAGAGAAGAUUAGCAUGGCCUCUGCGUAAGGAUGACACACAAAUUCGUGAAGUGUUCCAUAUUUUU